AUACGGAGGGGGUUAGCGUUGUUCGGAAUUACUGGGCGUAAAGCGCACGUAGGCGGACUGGAAAGUUGGGGGUGAAAUCCCGGGGCUCAACCCCGGAACUGCCUCCAAAACUUCCAAUCUAGAGAUCGAGAGAGGUGAGUGGAAUUCCAAGUGUAGAGGUGGAAUUCGUAGAUAUUUGGAGGAACACCAGUGGCGAAGGCGGCUCACUGGCUCGAUACUGACGCUGAGGUGCGAAAGCGUGGGGAGCAAACAGGAUUAGAAACCCCGGUAGUCC
rnacentral:rRNA from 1 species